rnacentral:rRNA from 1 species
AUGGCUUCCUUGUUGUUCCUGCGUCUCGUCGUUCCCCUCGCUCUGCUUCUUCUGCCGCUCUCGCGCUCGGCGACGGUGGUGACCCAUCUCACCGGCUUCCAUGGCCGCCUUCCCUUCCACCUGGAGACCGGGUACGUCAACGUGGACGAGGAGACGGGAACGGAGCUCUUCUACUACUUCGUGGAGUCGGAGAGGAGCCCCGACACGGACCCCGUCGUCCUGUGGCUGACGGGAGGACCCCGCUGCUCUAGCUUGAUUUUCUACGAAGUUGGUCCAAUGAAAUUCGUUCUUGCACCUUAUAAUGGUAGUUUGCCAGAGUUGACAUAUAAUCCCGAUUCAUGGUCCAAGGUGGCAAGCAUCAUCUUGUUGGAUUCUCCAGUGGGUACUGGUUUCUCGUAUGCUCGUGAUAUAGAAAGUCAUCGUGAUGUUGGGGAUUUCUCAUCUACUUUGCACAUCAUAACAUUUCUCAACAAGUGGUUUAUCGAUCACCCGCGCUACCAGUCAAAUCCUUUCUUUGUUGGAGGAAGUUCAUAUGCUGGAAAGAUGUCCCCAAUUAUCGCGCAACACAUUUCACAAGAAAUCAAACAAGGGAAGCAACCCAGGAUUAAUCUCAAGGGCUAUCUAGUCGGCAACCCAAUUACAGACUCCAUGUUUUAUGAUAACAAUUUCCAAAUAUCGCGGCAAUGA